GCACAAGCAGUGGAGUAUGUGGUUUAAUUCGAAGCAACGCGAAGAACCUUACCUGGUCUUGACAUCCCAACGACCGCCUUAGAGAUAAGGCUUUCCUUCGGGACGUUGGUGACAGGUGGUGCAUGGUUGUCGUCAGCUCGUGUCGUGAGAUGUUGGGUUAAGUCCCGCAACGAGCGCAACCCCUAUUGCCAGUUGCCAUCAUUAAGUUGGGCACUCUGACGAGACUGCCGUUGACAAAA
rnacentral:rRNA from 1 species